rnacentral:rRNA from 1 species
GAGGGUUUGAUCCUGGCUCAGGAUGAACGCUGGCGGCGUGCCUAAUACAUGCAAGUCGAGCGAACGGACGAGAAGCUUGCUUCUCUGAUGUUAGCGGCGGACGGGUGAGUAACACGUGGAUAACCUACCUAUAAGACUGGGAUAACUUCGGGAAACCGGAGCUAAUACCGGAUAAUAUUUUGAACCGCAUGGUUCAAAAGUAAAAGACGGUCUUGCUGUCACUUAUAGAUGGAUCCGCGCUGCAUUAGCUAGUUGGUAAGGUAACGGCUUACCAAGGCAACGAUGCAUAGCCGACCUGAGAGGGUGAUCGGCCACACUG